rnacentral:rRNA from 1 species
AUUGUAGUCUGCAACCCGACUACAUGAAGCUGGAAUCGCUAGUAAUCGCGGAUCAGAAUGCCGCGGUGAAUACGUUCCCGGGUCUUGUACACACCGCCCGUCACACCAUGGGAGUCGGAAAUGCCCGAAGUCAGUGACCCAACCGUAAGGAGGGAGCUGCCGAAGGUGGAGCCGGUAACUGGGGUGAAGUCGUAACAAGGUAAC